UGGCUCAGUUGGUAGAGCAUGGUGUUUGCAACGCCAGGGUUGUGGGUUCGCUUCCCAU
rnacentral:tRNA from 1 species